UAGGGAAUCUUCCGCAAUGGGCGAAAGCUUGACGGAGCAACGCCGCGUGAGUGAUGAAGGUCUUCGUAUCGUAAAACUCUGUUAUUAGGGAAGAACAAAUGUGUAAGUAACUAUGCACGUCUUGACGGUACCUAAUCAGAAAGCCACGGCUAACUACGUGCCAGCAGCCGCGGUAAUACGUAGGUGGCAAGCGUUAUCCGGAAUUAUUGGGCGUAAAGCGCGCGUAGGCGGUUUUUUAAGUCUGAUGUGAAAGCCCACGGCUCAACCGUGGAGGGUCAUUGGAAACUGGAAAACUUGAGUGCAGAAGAGGAAAGUGGAAUUCCAUGUGUAGCGGUGAAAUGCGCAGAGAUAUGGAGGAACACCAGUGGCGAAGGCGACUUUCUGGUCUGUAACUGACGCUGAUGUGCGAAAGCGUGGGGAUCAAACAGG
rnacentral:rRNA from 1 species